rnacentral:rRNA from 1 species
UCGGUUCACCGAGAAAUGGGAGUGGCGAACGGGUGAGUAACACGUGGGUAACCUACCCAUCAGCGGGGGAUAACACUUGGAAACAGGUGCUAAUACCGCAUAAUUCUUUUCUUCGCCUGGAGGAAAGAUGAAAGACGCUUUUGCGUCACUGAUGGAUGGACCCGCGCUGCAUUAGCUAGUUGGUGGGGUAACGGCUCACCAAGGCCACGAUGCAUAGCCGACCUGAGAGGGUGAUCGGCCACACUGGGACUGAGACACGGCCCAGACUCCUACGGGAGGCAGCAGUAGGGAAUCUUCGGCAAUGGACGAAAGUCUGACCGAGCAACGCCGCGUGAGUGAAGAAGGUUUUCGGAUCGUAAAACUCUGUUGUUAGAGAAGAACAAGGAUGAGAGUAGAAUGUUCAUCCCUUGACGGUAUCUAACCAGAAAGCCACGGCUAACUACGUGCCAGCAGCCGCGGUAAUACGUAGGUGGCAAGCGUUGUCCGGAUUUAUUGGGCGUAAAGCGAGCGCAGGCGGUUUCUUAAGUCUGAUGUGAAAGCCCCCGGCUUAACCGGGGAGGGUCAUUGGAAACUGGGAGACUUGAGUGCAGAAGAGGAGAGUGGAAUUCCAUGUGUAGCGGUGAAAUGCGUAGAUAUAUGGAGGAACACCAGUGGCGAAGGCGACUCUCUGGUCUGUAACUGACGCUGAGG